UUCCUUUAUAUUUUAAAGAAGAAAAAGAGGAUCUCUCUCUUCUCUGAUCUCUUGAGAUGGCCGGAGUGGUACAUGUCAUUACGGGAGGACCUGAUAAGAGCAAUGAAAAAAAUAAGCGUAAGGCAGGGGAUGUCUUAUUUGUCCAUUAAGAACCAUGGGUCAAACAAAAGGUAAGAUUUGGUCCUGCCGAUAAGGCGGUAGGGUCCUUUCAAAAUGAUCCCUUGG
rnacentral:lncRNA from 1 species